rnacentral:rRNA from 1 species
GAUGAACGCUGGCGGCGUGCCUAAUACAUGCAAGUCGAGCGAACAGACGAGGAGCUUGCUCCUCUGACGUUAGCGGCGGACGGGUGAGUAACACGUGGAUAACCUACCUAUAAGACUGGGAUAACUUCGGGAAACCGGAGCUAAUUCCGGAUAAUAUAUUGAACCGCAUGGUUCAAUAGUGAAAGACGGUUUUGCUGUCACUUAUAGAUGGAUCCGCGCCGCAUUAGCUAGUUGGUAAGGUAACGGCUUACCAAGGCAACGAUGCGUAGCCGACCUGAGAGGGUGAUCGGCCACACUGGAACUGAGACACGGUCCAGACUCCUACGGGAGGCAGCAGUAGGGAAUCUUCAGCAAUGGGCGAAAGCCUGACGGAGCAACGCCGCGUGAGUGAUGAAGGUCUUCGGAUCGUAAAACUCUGUUAUUAGGGAAGAACAAAUGUGUAAGUAACUAUGCACGUCUUGACGGUACCUAAUCAGAAAGCCACGGCUAACUACGUG